CAGGCAUCUGGAGAGGUGAGCCUGUCAGCAGUUCUGUCCCUUCAUGAGAUGAGAGGUUCUUCUGCUUAAAUCCCCCCAGGCCUUUGAAAGGACAGGUACCACAAUACUCACAGUGCAUAGUGAGGCAUCUCCAGUGACCUUUGUGGACUGAUAAAUGCAGGGCUGGAGGCCUGGAGUAAAGUUAUAAGUCAGUCACUAAGAGAGCGAAGUCGUGAUUUUCUUGAAAAUAUAUGUUAAAAGGGAUAAAAAAUCAAACUUUGAAGCAAAAAAGACAGUAAUUGUGGAAUACACAUAAAUACAGAACGAAGAAAAGGAAUCAGAUAAAAUUACUUCUAUAGCUUAAGUUUUGUCUCUAUUCACAAGAAGAACAUUUAUGCAACCUUUCCAUACCCUGGCAAGAGAGUGCUUUGUAAACAUCUUGAAGACCUACAUUCAGAGUCUGAGACUAUCCAAGCAUCCUCCUAUAGGUCUACAUUGCAAACAGGAGACCCGUACCUGCUGAGUGAGAAAACUGGAAGUUAAUGAAGAAGGCAGUCAGUGAUGGAAGCAGGUGUAACUCCUGUGAGUGACGAUUUUUCAUGCCUUAUUUUAUUUUAUUUUAUCUCAUUUUAUUGAGACAGAGUCUCAUUCCGUCUCCCAGGCUGGAGUGUAGUGGUACGACCUUGGCUCACUGCAACUUUCACCUCCCG
rnacentral:lncRNA from 1 species